GGGACACUCAACAUGACCAGAGAAGUGAGGAGACAUCAACAAGACAACCAGCAGAAGACCUGAGCAGCUCAGCCUCAACUGAAUUCUUUGAGAUUCUUGCAGUCACCUUUGCUUGCUGAGGUAAACUCCAUCAUCUUUCCUUUCUUCUUG